GAGUCAAAUGCUUGCUCUCAUAAGGACAAGGCGUGAUGAGGAGCGAAAUUAAAGUAGCGAAGGCUGCGACGUCACACUGCCGAGAAAAGCUUCUAGCCAGAGACGGUGCACCCGUACCGCAAACCGACACAGGUAGUCGAGGAGAGUAUCCUCAGGUGAGCGAGAGAACUCUCGUUAAGGAACUCGGCAAAAUGGCCCCGUAACUUCGGGAGAAGGGGCGCUGGUCGCAAGAUCAGCCGCAGUGAAAAGGCCCAAGCAACUGUUUAUCAAAAACACAGGCAUCUGCAAAAUCGUAAGAUGAAGUAUAGGUGCUGACACCUGCCCGGUGCUGGAAGGUUAAGAGGAGAGCUUAGCGCAAGCGAAGGUUUGAAUUGAAGCCCCAGUAAACGGCGGCCGUAACUAUAACGGUCCUAAGGUAGCGAAAUUCCUUGUCGGGUAAGUUCCGACCUGCACGAAAGGUGUAAUGAUUUGGGCACUGUCUCAACGAGAGACUCGGUGAAAUUAUAAUACCCGUGAAGAUGCGGGUUACCCGCGACAGGACGGAAAGACCCCAUGGAGCUUUACUGCAGUUUAAUAUUGGGUAUCUGUCAAGCAUGUACAGGAUAGGUAGGAGCCGGAGAAGAUAGGACGCCAGUCUUAUCUGAGGCGCUGUUGGGAUACUACCCUUGCUUGACGGAUGCUCUAACUCAGGCCUGUGAUCCAGGCCGAGGACAGUGUUUGACGGGCAGUUUGACUGGGGCGGUCGCCUCCUAAAGUGUAACGGAGGCGCCCAAAGGUUCCCUCAGAAUGGUUGGAAAUCAUUCGCAGAGUGUAAAGGUAAAAGGGAGCUUGACUGCGAGAGAGACAACUCGAGCAGGUACGAAAGUAGGGCUUAGUGAUCUGGUGGUACCGUAUGGAAGGGCCAUCACUCAACGGAUAAAAGCUACCCUGGGGAUAACAGGCUUAUCUCCCCCAAGAGUUCACAUCG
rnacentral:rRNA from 1 species